AGCGAACGCUGGCGGCAGGCUUAACACAUGCAAGUCGAACGGGCACUUCGGUGCUAGUGGCAGACGGGUGAGUAACACGUGGGAACGUACCUUUCGGUUCGGAAUAAUUCAGGGAAACUUGGACUAAUACCGGAUACGCCCUUCGGGGGAAAGAUUUAUCGCCGAUAGAUCGGCCCGCGUCUGAUUAGCUAGUUGGUGAGGUAAUGGCUCACCAAGGCGACGAUCAGUAGCUGGUCUGAGAGGAUGAUCAGCCACAUUGGGACUGAGACACGGCCCAAACUCCUACGGGAGGCAGCAGUGGGGAAUAUUGGACAAUGGGCGCAAGCCUGAUCCAGCCAUGCCGCGUGAGUGAUGAAGCCCUUAGGGUUGUAAAGCUCUUUUGUCCGGGAAGAUAAUGACUGUACCGGAAGAAUAAGCCCCGGCUAACUUCGUGCCAGCCGCCGCUGUAACAC
rnacentral:rRNA from 1 species